GUUGGAGAGUCGCCUAGGCUACUAGGGCUCUGAUCUGUUUCCGGAGAGGGGCCCUUGUCCCCUGCGUCCUGGGUGCUGUCCCUUCCCACAGGCUCCUGCUUGAUGUCAAAGUCUCCUGUCUGCGUGGUAGGUCUGGCGUAUUCUGACAGGCCACAGUGAGCAUCUGUAGAACAGAGUCUUGAGGAAAGAGGAACAGGAAAAUGGCGUGGAUUUUUGGAGGCCUGCUUUAAGGCUGGUCAUUUCUGAGAGAGGAAAGAAGACAUCAAGGAGACUGUCUCAGAUCUCUGGAGGUUGGUGAGAAUCGGGAGCAGUGCAGAAGCCAGGCCUGCUUUAAGGCUGGUCAUUUCUGAGAGAGGAAAGAAGACAUCGAAGAGACUGUCUCAGAUCUCUGGAGGUUGGUGAGAAUCGGGAGCAGUGCAGGAGCCAGGCCUGCUUUAAGGCUGGUCAUUUCUGAGAGAAAGGAAGGAAGGCAUCGAGGAGACUGUCUCAGAUCUCUGGAGCCAGGUA